rnacentral:rRNA from 1 species
AAUAUUGCACAAUGGGGGAAACCCUGAUGCAGCGACGCCGCGUGAGCGAAGAAGGCCUUCGGGUCUUAAAGCCCUUUCACCGAUGAAGAUAAUGACGGUAGUCGGAGACGAAGCCCCGGCUAACUUCGUGCCAGCAUCCGCGGUAAUACGAAGGGGGCUAGCGUUGUUCGGAUUUACUGGGCGUAAAGCGCACGUAGGCGGAUUGGUCAGUUAGAGGUGAAAUCCCGAAGCUCAACUUCGGAACUGCCUUUAAUACUGCCAGUCUCGAGUCCGGAAGAGGUAAGUGGAACUCCUAGUGUAGAGGUGGAAUUCGUAGAUAUUAGGAAGAACACCAGUGGCGAAGGCGGCUUACUGGUCCGGAACUGACGCUGAGGUGCGAAAGCGUGGGGAGCAAACAG